UACGGGGGGAGCAAGCGUUGUUCGGAUUUACUGGGCGUAAAGGGCGCGUAGGCGGCGCAACAAGUCACUUGUGAAAUCUCCGGGCUUAACUCGGAGCGGCCAAGUGAUACUGUCGUGCUAGAGUGCGGAAGAGGCGAGUGGAAUUCCUGGUGUAGCGGUGAAAUGCGCAGAUAUCGGGAGGAACACCAGUGGCGAAGGCGGCACUCUGGGCCAGUAUUGACGCUGAGGAGCGAAAGCGUGGGGAGCGAACAGG
rnacentral:rRNA from 1 species